UACAGAGGUCUCAAGCGUUGUUCGGAUUCAUUGGGCGUAAAGGGUGCGUAGGUGGCGCUGUAAGUCAGGUGUGAAAUUUCGGAGCUUAACUCCGAAACUGCAUUUGAUACUGCGGUGCUCGAGGACUGGAGAGGAGACUGGAAUUUACGGUGUAGCAGUGAAAUGCGUAGAGAUCAUGAGGAAGACCAGUGGCGAAGGCGGGUCGUCUGGACAGUUCCUGACACUGAGGCACGAAGGCCAGGGGAGCAAACGGG
rnacentral:rRNA from 1 species